ACACACAGCGUCUCAAUGAUGGUUCACAUAUUAAACACAAGCAACUAGGACCAAAAAUGGAUGACUGGUCACUGGACUGUUCAGAAGUGAGCUAAGAUAGCAGCCCACUAUGAAGUGUGGAAUUCCACUGUUUUGGCAUGUAUGGAAAGUCAUUUCACUGCAGCCAUGCUGGAGCACCGCCUUUAGUCGUGAAGCACCGUCUUUAGUCGUGGAGCACCGCCUUUAGUCGUGGAGCACUGCCUUAACAACAUGGACAGGGUGUUUAUUUCAUGCUACCUGCAUUAUUGAGGUCACUAUGCAAGUUCGCAGGAUCAUGAGCCCUGAUGGGAGGUGGGAGGAGUGUCAGUAUCUUGCUAGGGGAUGAGGGGACUAUGGUGAGAUGGCAAAUGGGUGCAGAACACUCAUAUCUUGCAGGGAAAAGGGGAGAGAGGAAUAGCAAAAGAUCAAUAGGAACUGUAAGAAAUAAAUAAUAGUAAUGAGGUGCUUGGGUGCCUCCACACUGUACAAACUAAGUAGA